GGGAACCAGGAUCACCUGUUGCUCCGUCUGUCCGUCACACCAUUUUUUUAAUUUAGCUAUCUUUUGGCAUCAAUCAUUUAUCGUUAUCGAUCUGAAAACAGAUCGUCAGCUAUUCGAUGAGUUUUAAAUCAGCUAGAAAAAAAGAUUCUUCACAACUGCCGUGCCACUGGAGAGACCAACGCCUCCACGGUAUUUAAAGAUGUAAAAAACGCUCCACCCUCCUCCAACAAAUCUUCUCUGUGCGCUAAUUAUUCUCUGUGCAUAUAUUUAACAAAAAAAGCAUUUGUUUCAAUUUUGCUCGCACAAAUGAAAACAUUUAGAAAAGUACAUUCAAAGACGAAGUUUCAGCCAAAAGUAAAUCCGAAUACAACGACUAACGGUGAAGUUCAUCCACUCACUCAUGGUCACGUUUGUCAAUUUGAAAUUCCGGUUCCCAGCAUCUCUCUUUUGUACGUGGUAAUUAUUUCUGGAAGUUCCUCAUUGAGCUCCAAUCAGCGAUAAAAGAACAUUCGAACACAUCAGAAGGUUUUUACUUUUGGGUUUACCGCCAUCUAGUGGCCAAACCAAACAUUACAACAACAGAGAUGUUUGAUGUACUCAAAGCCAAAGAAUGAGUGAGACCCCUCUUGCAUUCAACCAUCACAGUCAUGUGGUUUGGGGUUCUUGUAAGGCACAGGAAGGAACUUCCCGCCCUUUGUCGAACGAGUCCAGAGCAUCGGGAAGCCGGUGUGACGCGAUGAAGUUGGGAGAUCGGAGAGGAACAUUCCGGUCCUCUUUUGUCCUGGUUUGCAGUUCCAGCAUAGUUGUGAUUUUGUUUGUAUUUUGAUCACGUCUUUUUUCCCAGCAUAGCUGUGAUUUUCUUAGUUUCCUGCUCAGCAGCAACUUUAAGUUGUACUUUGUUUCUUUGGAAUUUUUGGGGACUUCCUCUGUUUAAAUAAACCCUUUUGAUUGCCCUGAGUUUUGGAGUCGUGCUCUCGGGUCCUGUUUUUGAGUCGUGACACUCGGCUGCAGGAACAGGAGGUUCACGUGUGUUUAUCAUCGUUCUCUCUGUCCUAAAGGAAGUCUUUUCACUUUUACAUUCGUCUUUCGGAGACUCUUGCACCAGAGACGUUUUAUUGACGUUCUUCACGUAGAAAGAAGAUGCUUGGUGUUUUCCGAUUUGCUUGAAUCGCGAUGGAAACACACGUUCACGCCGACAUGUCGCCGUGGCUCAUCUUCCAUUUUGGUUCAAAUGAAAUUCACGCCGAGGCAAAGCAGGUUAAUUUGUAACAUGUGAAACACCUCUUAACCCUCCUGUUACCUUUAUGGUCAAUUUGACCCCAUUCAAUGUUUAACCCUCCUGUUACCUUUAUAUUUACUAACAUAUUUUACCCUUGGGGUCAAUUUGACCCCAGCAAUUAAAACCUCCAGGAAAUUAUUAGAAUUAAUAUUCCAAGUUUAAGUGUGAGGUACUUUAUGUUUGUUUGUUGACUACCUAAAUAGCCCUUUAAAUAUAUAAAAAAGUUGAUAUUUCUUAUAUGUUUGACAGUGAAAAACAGCCUGGGGUCAAAUUGACCCCAAAGAACACCGACAUUAAACAUUGAAUGGGGUCAAAUUGACCCUAAAGGUAACAGGAGGGUUAAAACAACAGGGAAAUUUAAGGUGCUUUACUUCGGCCAUAAAAGAUAUUCAUAAACAAAAACACAUCAAUUGGUUUUCAAAAGAGUAAAAAGGAAGUAGAAGAUGAUCUUGAACAACACAUUGUGUUCUAUCAUCUUAUAAUAUUUGUCCUAAAAUAACUAGUAACCAUAGCUGUCAUUAGGGCUGGGCGAUAUGUCCAUAAUCUUCUAUCACUAUAUUGGUCAUUUUAUGACUCGCUUUGUGGUAAUAUUAUAGAUGUAUUAGCAAAAUGCAAUUAUACCAUGGUUUUGUAUACUGCUGUGUGAAAGAACAGAGUAUUAUCUCAUUUGAUUAAGAAAUUUAGUGCAAAUAAAAGCAAAGUGCAAAGCAAUUCGAGUGAUGUAUUUGUUAUUAUUUAUUUAGAGGACCCAACUGCGCAUCAGGAGAUCUUUAUACAUGAAUUCUUCACCAUAUGAUUCUAUUGAAAGACGAUAUAUAUUUUCAUCCUGAUUCAUCGCCCAGCCAGCUGCUCCACAUGCAGUGGAUUAAAUAGAAAAUAUGUCCCUCUGAAAUGUGAAGUAGAAGUAUAAAGUAGCAUGAAAUGAAUGUAUACGCUGGUUGGAUAUUUCCCACCACUGUCAGAGAAACGCUUGUGAAUGAACAUGUAAUGUCACUUGACUUCCACUAGAUGGCAGCAUACCACUCUGGUCAUGGAAGUCAGUGUCCCAAGUGGACACAAAAUUAAAUAUAAUCUAUAAAUACAGGCUACAGACACAUAGAUGAGCAGACGGCACAACCCGAUACAUAAUCCAGCAAAAAUUGGUGGGCUCCAUAAAUGAUCACAAUUUAUGAAGCUUAUGUAAAUCACUGUAUUGUUAUGAGUCAUUCCAGGGGGAAACGUCAGAGGUCAUGGCUGCUGCCCCCACCCCCCCCCCCCUCUCGCCGGUCAUUUGCAGAAGGAGCAAUUGGGUCCAUUUAUCUGUGCUACACUACUUUAUAUAUUAGGUUAUUUAUUAGGUUAAGAGACCUAAAAACACAAAUGAGUCAGUAUUUUUCCUCUUAAAAUUAAAGACGGCACCGUUUUAUCAAUGAAGAUAACAUUAAAUGAAUCAUAAACUCUCUCUACAUAGUAAAUGUGUUAAUGACUAUUCUCUGGUGUUUAAUGAAGUCUCUACAGAGGUGUGUAGAGGCCCAUCUCCAGUGUUCUAAUGGUACAUUGUGUUCUCGCCUUAGAAGACUAACGGAGGGGUAGAAAACCCUUUUUAUGUGAGCGCAGCUGAAAACAGUUAUGCUGGUGAGAGAAGCUCUAAAACUGGCCUUCCUUUGAGCCACAAGAAAACUACGUUAAUAUUUACAAUAUAAAUCAUUAUAUCUAACCUCGUCAAUGUCUUGACUAGAUUUAGUUGGAAUGCUUCAGCAGUCCAACUAUUGUUCUUGUAAUCUUUAUCUUUAAUAAACUUAU